UCCCUAGUGGCUGAAACGGUAAAGAAUCUGCCUGCAAUGCAGGAGACCUGGGUUCAAUUUCUGGGUUAGGAAG
rfam:TPA: Bos taurus chromosome 23, whole genome shotgun sequence.